AAAAAGUAAGGCCAUCAAGAGUGUUCAUGAGAUGAAAGUACAUACAUAUACUUCAAAUGGAAAAGAUUUGAAAAACGUUUUAUGCCCUAGGUACCCACAAUGCCACAUAUAACACCAAAGCAUCAAUUCAGCUCUUAAGUAAUCAAUCAGUUCUAAGGUACUAAGGUCCUUGCCACUAUCUUAUCACACAAAUAAUGCUUAAAUUGUUUAGCAAGUAUUAAUACCUGUUCUAG
rnacentral:misc_RNA from 1 species